GACGAACGCUGGCGGCGUGCUUAACACAUGCAAGUCGAACGGAAAGGCCCUGCUUUUGUGGGGUGCUCGAGUGGCGAACGGGUGAGUAACACGUGAGUAACCUGCCCUUGACUUUGGGAUAACUUCAGGAAACUGGGGCUAAUACCGGAUAGGAGCUCCUGCUGCAUGGUGGGGGUUGGAAAGUUUCGGCGGUUGGGGAUGGACUCGCGGCUUAUCAGCUUGUUGGUGGGUAGUGGCUUACCAAGGCCUUGACGGGUUGCCGGCCUGAGAGGGUGACCGGCCACAUUGGGACUGAGAUACGGCCCAGACUCCUACGGGAGGCAACAGUGGGGAAUAUUGCACAAUGGGCGGAAGCCUGAUGCAGCAACGCCGCGUGCGGGAUGACGGCCUUCGGGUUGUAAACCGCUUUCGCCUGUGACGAAGCGUGAGUGACGGUAAUGGGUAAAGAAGCACCGGCUAACUACGUG
rnacentral:rRNA from 1 species